CCUACGGGUGGCUGCAGUGAGGAAUAUUGGUCAAUGGGCGCGAGCCUGAACCAGCCAAGUAGCGUGAAGGAUGACUGCCCUACGGGUUGUCAACUUCUUUUAAAGGAAUAAAGUGAGGCACGUGUGCCUUCUUGUAUGUACUUUAUGCAUAAGGAUCUGCUAACUCCGUGCCAGCAGCCGCGGUAAUACGGAGGAUCCGAGCGUUAUCCGGAUUUAUUGGGUUUAAAGGUAGCGUAGAUGGGUUGUUAAGUCAGUUGUGAAAGUUUGCGGCUCAACCGUAAAAUUGCAAUUGAUACUGGCAGCCUUGAGUACAUUUGAGGUAGGCGGAAUGCGUGGUGUAGCGGUGAAAUGCUUAGAUAUCACGAAGAACUCCGAUUGUGAAGGCAGCUUACUAAACUGCCACUGACAUUGAUGCUCGAAAGUGUGGGUAUCAAACAGGAUUAGAUACCCCUGUAGUC
rnacentral:rRNA from 1 species